rnacentral:lncRNA from 1 species
UAAGCCCUAAGCCCUAAGCCCUAAGCCCUAAGCCCUAAACCCUAGAACCCCAAACACUAAACAAAAUAGAGACAAACAUAUUCUAAACAUGAAAAACCAAACACAAACAGAAAAAACAAAGGAGAGAAGCAGAGAUCUGAAAUUAAAAAAUAAGCAAAUACACAGUUAACGUAAAUAUUCAUACCUGAAAUGACUGCCAUGAAGCAGGGGUUUGUUUUCAUUAUUCUCUCUUCAUCCCUUCUCGUACUUCGUGGAUUCUCUUUACAGCUGUAAUCCUAGCCUCAUGAAGGUCUGAAUGUAAUAACCAAAAGAUACUGGAAAUCUGAUCUGCAAAUAUCAACAAAUACCACUGAGAAAGCACCCAAAAGAACUCAUUACGGGUAUCACUUAUACCACCCAUAAAUUUCAAAAGUAUCCACUAAAAGCCAGAAACAUCCCCUUUUAAAAUCAAGAAAAAAUUGUGUUAAAAACAUAGAAUUUUACAGACUUUUUGAGAAAACUAAAAAAAUGAAUGUCACAACUCACAACGAAUUAAAAAGACAUUUUAUUACCAUCCAUAAAAACUACCAAAUAAACUCUACAUGCGUCUCAACUCCUACCGAGUUCCUAGAACCAAAAUAAAGCCAACACAGAUGCAGUAAACAAAGUACAUACGGAUGCUUUUUUAUUAGGCAAUUAGUAUUCUGCUAAGCAAAGAUUUAAAAGAAAUAGAAAAUAACACAAAAGCUAUAAUAUUAAACAGAGGGAAACAAACAAUCCAAAAAUAAAGAACAACAUAUAGUAUACGAUAAACAAACAAAAAUGAAGAACAAGACCGACAUCUAUAGAUCUGAAAGACGAAACGAAACAGAAAUUUCUAAAGCUGAAAACCAAAAACCCUAAGAAAAACCCACUGAAAUACAAGUAAAAAAGCAUGGAGCUAAAACUAAAAAAGAAAUUGAUACCUGAAAUGAGUCUCCGUUGAAGCAACGAAUUUCAAAAAUCACAAAAACCAGAAGCGCCAAAGAAAACAUAGGGUUUCUCUCUCACGAAAACUCUCUUCCUACUAUAGCGUGUGUGUUUUUGGCCUGUGGAUACCCAAACCUAAAAUAGAAUGACAGGAAAACGUUGAAAAGAGACCUAGAGUGAGAGAGAAUCGCCGAAGAAAUGAGAAGCAAUGAAUUGGAUAGAUAUAUUUGAGGAUUUAAAUUUCGAAUGAUGGGAUGGAAGUGAUCGGAGGUAAGACGCUGGAAAGUGUGUGGAGGCAGAGGCAGCGGCAGCGGUUUGUUAGAAAGGACAAUAAAGGAGGUAGAGAAAAAGAAAAUUAGUAGAAGAAAGGGGAAAAUGGGGAGAGAAUAAAGGGAAAACCGAACGCGAGAGAGAUGAAGGAAGAAAGAGUUUUUAUAUUAUUUAAUUUUAAAAUGGUUUGAAUUUUAUUUUAUUUUUUUAAUAAAUAUCGGACUUUGGAAAAGUUAUAUUCAAUCUUUUCUUAAAUAGUAUUUAGACCCAGAUAAAAUUAGGCCUGUUUUUCCAAGCUUUUGUUAUAAUUUGGGCCUAUUUCGUUUUCGUUUUGGGGUCUGUCUUUUAGUCCUGAUGGUCCGUGUUUUUGUAUUUUAAUAAUAGCCAAUUUUUUCCUUCCAAAAAAACCUUAAACCAACUCGGAGAUAUCCUCGGAAUGGGUCUCAAUCGGAACGGGAUAUAAAGAGGAUAUCCCCAGAAUAGCUUAUUCCGAAACGGGAUAUGACAAGGAUAUUCGUGGAUUGGAAUAAGACAAUCUUUAAAUC